UAGCUGCAAUUUCUGUACUAAGGUAGCAUAAUCAUUUGUUUUUUAAUUUUAAACUAGAAUGAAAGGUAAAACAAAUCAUUUCUUUAUUUUUUAUUUUAUUUAAACUUAUACUAAAUAUAAAAAUAUAUUUUUAUACAAAAAAGACGACAAGACCCUAUUGAACUUCACUUUAGUUUAGCUGGGGAAGCUAAAUAAUAAAUAUUUUAUUUUAAAUUUUAUAAAUGACCCAAAAUAUUUGAUUAAUUAAUCAAGUUACCAUAGGGAUAACAGCGCAAUAAAUUUUUAAAGUUCUUAUCUAAAAAUUUGCUUACGACCUCGAUGU
rnacentral:rRNA from 1 species